GCAACUUCAGUCGUGCAUGCACUAAAAUUGAAACUAUAAAGAUGAUUAGCAUGACCCCCGCAUGAGGAUGACAUGUAAAUUUGUGCAGUGUUCCUAAUACAG
ensembl:snRNA U6 U6 spliceosomal RNA